UUGCAGGUGAGGCGUCAUUGGACUCUAGUAGCCCUGAUUUUGUGCCUUCUGUGUUUGUGUACACAAAACAAAGCCAGAACCCCGAUGCAAAGAUGGACAGGUACCAUAGGAAAAGGAGGAGAGAGAGACCUAACAGACCUAACACUGCAGCAAAUCCUCCGGUUCCAUCUGAAACUCCAGAACAAGAAUGCAGCAUGGAUCAUUGUUCUGCUGAAGAGGAUAUCCCAGUUCCAAGGAGAGAGUAUGAUGAUCUGAACCUGAGACACAGUCAACUUCAGGAGGACUAUGUCAACCUGCGACAGGAUUUGGACACACUACGAGCUGAAAAUGUAAAGCUGAAAGAGGAGCUGCAAAAAUCUACAUUUUCCUACACCACUGUUAAGUGCAACAAUGUACAAUUGAUUUUUCUCACAGCACCGACCUCUGUGAUCUUUGAGUGGCUGCUUACAAAAAUAACAGGCAGCGUAGAAAUAAUUUGCAAAAAACGUACAGUUGAGGACCACCUUUUGGUUAUAUUGAUGAAAUUAAGGUUGGGCCUAUCUAAUACUGACUUGGCAUAUAGAUUUAAGGUAUCAAAAACCACCAUAACAAAUAUUUUGCAGAGCUGGGUCCCUGUUAUGGCCGUGGUCCUCAAGCCACUCAUUAAAUGGCCAAGUAAGGAGGCAGUACUGAAAAAUAUGCCAAAAAUAUUCAAACGCAACUUUAAAAGAUGCAGGUGCAUAAUAGAUUGCACAGAAAUUUUCAUAGCUAGACCCAGUAAUCUGACUUCCAGGGCCCAGACAUG